rnacentral:rRNA from 1 species
ACGGUCCUAAGGUAGCGAAAUUCCUUGUCGGGUAAGUUCCGACCUGCACGAAUGGCGUAACGAUCUCCACACUGUCUCGGCCAGAAACUCGGUGAAAUUGAAGUCGCGGUGAAAAUGCCGUGUACCCGCAGAAAGACGGAAAGACCCUGUGCACCUUUACUAUAGCUUGACAUUGGAUUUUGGGCCUACAUGUGUAGGAUAGGUGGGAGACUGUGAAAUAUGUACGCCAGUAUGUGUGGAGUCAUCCUUGAAAUACCACCCUUGUAUGUCUAAGGUCCUAACGUGACGCCGUGAUCCGGCUCACAGACAGUGUCUGGUGGGUAGUUUGACUGGGGCGGUCGCCUCCUAAAGAGUAACGGAGGCAUACAAAGGUUCCCUCAGGCUGUUUGGAAAUCAGCCGUCGAGUGCAAACGCAUAAGGGAGCUUGACUGUAAGAGAGACAUUUCGAGCAGAUACGAAAGUAGGUGUUAGUGAUCCGGUGGUCCCGUAUGGAAGGGCCAUCGCUCAUUGGAUAAAAGGUACGCCGGGGAUAACAGGCUGAUCGCAUCCAAGAGUUCAUAUCGACGAUGCGGUUUGGCACCUCGAUGUCGGCUCAUCACAUCCUGGGGCUGAAGCAGGUCCCAAGGGUACGGCUGUUCGCCGUUUAAAGUGGUACGCGAGCUGGGUUUAAAACGUCGUGAGACAGUUUGGUCCCUAUCUUCUGUGGGCGUAGGAAAAUUGAAAGGGCCUGUUCCUAGUACGAGAGGACCGGAAUGGACGCACCUCUGGUGGACCUGUUGUCGUGCCAACGGCACAGCAGGGUAGCUAUGUGCGGAAGGGAUAACCGCUGAAAGCAUCUAAGCGGGAAGCCUGCCUUAAGAUAAGUUUUCCCUGAAGGACCGAUGCAGACUACAUCGUUGAUAGGCCGGAGGUGUAAGUAUAGCGAUAUAUUUAGCUGACCGGUACUAAUAGUCCGAUUGUCUUGUUUCA